rnacentral:rRNA from 1 species
UACAGAGGUCUCAAGCGUUGUUCGGAUUCAUUGGGCGUAAAGGGUGCGUAGGCGGCGGGGCAAGUCGGAUGUGAAAUCUCAGGGCUCAACCCUGAAACUGCAUUCGAUACUGCCUUGCUCGAGGACUGGAGAGGAGAUUGGAAUUCACGGUGUAGCAGUGAAAUGCGUAGAUAUCGUGAGGAAGACCAGUGGCGAAGGCGGAUCUCUGGACAGUUACUGACACUGAGGCACGAAGGCCAGGGGAGCAAACGGG